rnacentral:rRNA from 1 species
AAUCAACGCUGGCGGCGUGCCUCAGACAUGCAAGUCGAACGAUUGAGACUCCCUUCGGGGAGUGCAUAAAGUGGCGCACGGGUGAGUAACACGUAAGUAAUCUACCUUCGAGUGGGGAAUAACGUUCGGAAACGAACGCUAAUACCGCAUAAUGCAGCGGCAUCGCAAGAUGACAGUUGUUAAAGGAGCAAUCCGCUUGAAGAGGAACUUGCGGCAGAUUAGCUAGUUGGUAAGGUAACGGCUUACCAAGGCUACGAUCUGUAUCCGGCCUGAGAGGGCGGUCGGACACACUGACACUGAAUAACGGGUCAGACUCAUACGGGAGGCAGCAGUCGGGAAUUUUGGGCAAUGGGCGAAAGCCUGACCCAGCAACGCCGCGUGAAGGAUGAAGUAUUUCGGUAUGUAAACUUCGAAAGAAUAGGAAGAAUAAAUGACGGUACUAUUUAUAAGCUCCGGCUAACUACGUGCCAGCCGCCGCGGUAACAC